rnacentral:rRNA from 1 species
UACGGAGGGUGCAAACGUUGCUCGGAAUCAUUGGGCGUAAAGCGCACGUAGGCGGUCUGAUAAGUCGGGUGUGAAAGCCCUCGGCUCAACCGAGGAAGUGCAUUCGAAACUGCCAGACUUGAAUAUGGAAGAGGGUCGCGGAAUUCCCGGUGUAGAGGUGAAAUUCGUAGAUAUCGGGAGGAACACCAGUGGCGAAGGCGGCGACCUGGGCCAAUAUUGACGCUGAGGUGCGAAAGCGUGGGGAGCAAACAGG